UACGAAGGGGGCUAGCGUUGCUCGGAAUUACUGGGCGUAAAGGGCGCGUAGGCGGCUGUUUAAGUCGGGGGUGAAAGCCCAGGGCUCAACCCUGGAAUUGCCUUCGAUACUGGACAUCUUGAGUACGGGAGAGGUGAGUGGAACUCCGAGUGUAGAGGUGAAAUUCGUAGAUAUUCGGAAGAACACCAGUGGCGAAGGCGACUCACUGGCCCGUUACUGACGCUGAUGCGCGAAAGCGUGGGGAGCAAACAGG
rnacentral:rRNA from 1 species